rnacentral:rRNA from 1 species
UACGAAGGGGGCUAGCGUUGCUCGGAAUCACUGGGCGUAAAGCGCACGUAGGCGGACUCUUAAGUCGGUGGUGAAAUCCUGGAGCUCAACUCCAGAACUGCCUUCGAUACUGGGAGUCUCGAGUCCGGGAGAGGUGAGUGGAACUGCGAGUGUAGAGGUGAAAUUCGUAGAUAUUCGCAAGAACACCAGUGGCGAAGGCGGCUCACUGGCCCGGUACUGACGCUGAGACGGCGAAAGCGUGGGGAGCGAACGAGG